rnacentral:rRNA from 1 species
UUAUGAUGGCGACCGGCGCACGGGUGAGUAACGCGUAUCCAACCUACCCAUUACUAGGGAAUAACCCAGCGAAAGUUGGCCUAAUGCCCUAUGUAGUCGUUUGAUCGCCUGAGAUUUCGACGAAAGAUUUAUCGGUAUUGGAUGGGGAUGCGUCUGAUUAGCUUGUUGGCGGGGUAAAGGCCCACCAAGGCAACGAUCAGUAGGGGUUCUGAGAGGAAGGUCCCCCACAUUGGAACUGAGACACGGUCCAAACUCCUACGGGAGGCAGCAGUGAGGAAUAUUGGUCAAUGGGCGAGAGCCUGAACCAGCCAAGUAGCGUGCAGGAUGACGGCCCUAUGGGUUGUAAACUGCUUUUAUAUGGGAAUAAAGUGAGGGACGUGUCCCUUAUUGCAUGUACCAUACGAAUAAGGACCGGCUAAUUCCGUGCCAGCAGCCGCGGUAAUACGGAAGGUCCAGGCGUUAUCCGGAUUUAUUGGGUUUAAAGGGAGCGUAGGCUGUUUGUUAAGCGUGUUGUGAAAUGUAGGAGCUCAACUUUUAGAUUGCAGCGCGAACUGGCAGACUUGAGUGCGCACAACGUAGGCGGAAUUCAUGGUGUAGCGGUGAAAUGCUUAGAUAUCAUGACGAACUCCGAUUGCGAAGGCAGCUUACGGGAGCG